rnacentral:rRNA from 1 species
AAUGGGUCAGCGACUUAUAUUCUGUAGCAAGGUUAACCGAAUAGGGGAGCCGAAGGGAAACCGAGUCUUAACUGGGCGUUAAGUUGCAGGGUAUAGACCCGAAACCCGGUGAUCUAGCCAUGGGCAGGUUGAAGGUUGGGUAACACUAACUGGAGGACCGAACCGACUAAUGUUGAAAAAUUAGCGGAUGACUUGUGGCUGGGGGUGAAAGGCCAAUCAAACCGGGAGAUAGCUGGUUCUCCCCGAAAGCUAUUUAGGUAGCGCCUCGUGAAUUCAUCUCCGGGGGUAGAGCACUGUUUCGGCAAGGGGGUCAUCCCGACUUACCAACCCGAUGCAAACUGCGAAUACCGGAGAAUGUUAUCACGGGAGACACACGGCGGGUGCUAACGUCCGUCGUGAAGAGGGAAACAACCCAGACCGCCAGCUAAGGUCCCAAAGUCAUGGUUAAGUGGGAAACGAUGUGGGAAGGCCCAGACAGCCAGGAUGUUGGCUUAGAAGCAGCCAUCAUUUAAAGAAAGCGUAAUAGCUCACUGGUCGAGUCGGCCUGCGCGGAAGAUGUAACGGGGCUAAACCAUGCACCGAAGCUGCGGCAGCGACGCUUAUGCGUUGUUGGGUAGGGGAGCGUUCUGUAAGCCUGUGAAGGUGUGCUGUGAGGCAUGCUGGAGGUAUCAGAAGUGCGAAUGCUGACAUAAGUAACGAUAAAGCGGGUGAAAAGCCCGCUCGCCGGAAGACCAAGGGUUCCUGUCCAACGUUAAUCGGGGCAGGGUGAGUCGACCCCUAAGGCGAGGCCGAAAGGCGUAGUCGAUGGGAAACAGGUUAAUAUUCCUGUACUUGGUGUUACUGCGAAGGGGGGACGGAGAAGGCUAUGUUGGCCGGGCGACGGUUGUCCCGGUUUAAGCGUGUAGGCUGGUUUUCCAGGCAAAUCCGGAAAAUCAAGGCUGAGGCGUGAUGACGAGGCACUACGGUGCUGAAGCAACAAAUGCCCUGCUUCCAGGAAAAGCCUCUAAGCAUCAGGUAACAUCAAAUCGUACCCCAAACCGACACAGGUGGUCAGGUAGAGAAUAC